rnacentral:rRNA from 1 species
AGCCUGAACGCUGGCGGCGUGGUUAAGACAUGCAAGUCGCACGGUGUAGCAAUACACAGUGGCGAACGGGUGAGUAAUGAAUCGCUAAUGUACCCCGGACUCUGGGAUAGCUAGCCGAAAGGUUAGGUAAUACCAGAUGACAUAUUCCUACCGCAUGGUCGGGAAUCUCAAAGGUCCGCCGGUCUGGGAGCAGGCGAUUUCGUAUCAGCUAGUUGGUGAGGUAACGGCUCACCAAGGCGACGACGCGUAGCCGGACUGAGAGGUUGGCCGGCCACAUCGGGACUGAGACACUGCCCGGACUCCUACGGGGGGCUGCAGUAACGAAUCUUCCCCAAUGCACGAAAGUGUGAGGGAGCGACGCCGCGUGUGGGACGAAGUCCUUCGGGAUGUAAACCACUGUCAGGGGAUACCAAGUUCUGAGGAUCCCCAGAGGAAGAGGCGGCUAACUCUGUGCCAGCAGCCGCGGUAA